GACUGCGUAGCUCAGUGGAAAGAGCAUUCCACGGAAUGGGUGGGACGUGGGUUCGAGUCCCACCCGGGGCCG
rnacentral:tRNA from 1 species